GACGAACGCUGGCGGCGCGCCUAACACAUGCAAGUCGAACGGAGCUGAGAGAAGCUUGCUUUUCUUAGCUUAGUGGCGAACGGGUGAGUAACGCGUGAGUAACCUGCCCUGGAGUGGGGGACAACAGUUGGAAACGACUGCUAAUACCGCAUAAGCCCACGAUCCGGCAUCGGAUUGAGGGAAAAGGAUUUAUUCGCUUCAGGAUGGACUCGCGUCCAAUUAGCUAGUUGGUGAGGUAACGGCCCACCAAGGCGACGAUUGGUAGCCGGACUGAGAGGUUGAACGGCCACAUUGGGACUGGGACACGGCCCAGACUCCUACGGGAGGCAGCAGUGGGGGAUAUUGCACAAUGGGGGAAACCCUGAUGCAGCGACGCCGCGUGGAGGAAGAAGGUUUUCGGAUUGUAAACUCCUGUCGUUAGGGACGAUAAUGACGGUACCUAACAAGAAAGCACCGGCUAACUACGU
rnacentral:rRNA from 1 species